ensembl:rRNA 5S_rRNA 5S ribosomal RNA
GUCUUCGGCCACACCAUCCUGGAUGCGCCCGAUCUCGUCUGAUCUCAGAAGCUAAGCAGGGCUGGGCCUGGUUAGUACUUGGAUGGGAGAAAAUUAUGUAAUUUGGAUUCU